rnacentral:lncRNA from 1 species
UUCUGCCCUUAUCCCCUCCUCUCUUCUCCCUCCUCUCUCUCUGUUUCUCUGUCUCUUUGUUUCUGUGCAUCUCUCUGUCUCUGUCUCUCUCUGUUUCUACCCUGUGUCUCUGACUGUCUCUAUCUCUACUUCUGUCUCUCUGUCUCUGUCUCUCUCUCUGUCUCUGUCUCUGCUUCUGUCUCUCUGACUGUCUCUGUCUCUGUCUCUCUGACUCUCUCUGUCUCUGUCUCUCUCCUCACUAGCCUUAUUGUGCAAGGCCCUAAAAGUGAGACAGAGUUUAGAUUUCUUCUUCAGGCUGGAGGCAGAGCCCCCCCUUCCUCCUUGGCAGUUCCUUCCAUCCAUAACACACGUCCCAGUGUUUCCCUUGAGCUCCAGUCCUGCAUCACCAAUUUCCUCUUCAACGUUUCAAACCGAACGUCUCAGAGACAAAGUCAGCAUUUCCAGAAGAAAACUCCUGCCUCCCACGCUCCCCAACCCUCCCUUCGUCUAAAUCUCCUCGUUUCUACCGAAGACUCCCCAGUCUUUCUCCCGGCGCCUCAGUGUGUGAGCUCGCUUUAUUCCAGACUCUCCCCCAUCUCCCUCCGCGUACUCCAUCAGGUGCCAUUUCCACCUCCAGAGCAUCUCUCCAUCAGCCCCUUGUCCCCGCUCCAGUGGCAGCAGCUUCCCUUGUCCCCUUAUUCCUCCUCCCCUAAAUGGCCGCAGCAGUUCCCAUGUGGUCUCCUUGCUGCAAGGCUCUCACCUCCCCACCCAUCUUCCCCCUGCUGCCAAAGGACACGUCGGACCAAAUCACCUCAGCCUCUCCUCACUCCAUCGACUCUGGCUCGGAGAAGAAAGCAUAAAUUCCCGUUUACCCAACCUGGCCCUGGAGAGACUACCUGCCCGACCACGCUCAUCAGGACCUGGCGGUGCUCCCCUCUGGUCCUCCCAAGUGACCGUCCGUCUCCAGUCCCGGGACUGGACACCAGACAUCGUCUCCAGAUGGGAAGUCCUUUUCCUUUAAUACAGCUCAGGUGCCAUCUUUUCCAUGGAAGCCCACCUGAUCCUGCUCUCCCUCCAAACUGUCGUCUUUUUAACUACUUUGCCUUUACUAGUAUUAGUUCACUCUACAUUUCUGCUAUAUAUGUAUAUGUUAUAUUAUUCUGCUAUAUAUUAAAUAUAUAG